rnacentral:rRNA from 1 species
UACGUAGGCAGCGAGCGUUGUUCGGAGUUACUGGGCGUAAAGAGUGCGUAGGCGGUUUUCUAAGUUUGGUGUGAAAUCUCCCGGCUUAACUGGGAGGGUGCGCCGAAGACUGGAAGGCUUGAGUAUGGGAGAGGUAAGCGGAAUUCCUGGUGUAGCGGUGAAAUGCGUAGAUAUCAGGAGGAACACCUGCGGUGUAGACGGCUUACUGGACCAUCACUGACGCUGAGGAGCGAAAGCAUGGGGAGCGAACAGG